CGAUGACGAUACAAUAAUAUUGCUUGAUUUAUUAGAAGGUCGACCAAUUUAUACACGGUAGUAGUGCACUUUAGCGAAACCAGGUCAAAAUGGACGGGAAAAUUAUACACUAUCUGGCCAUACUAAGUUUGCGCUGUCGCUUUCUCUCCACAUGGUAGACAUUUUGCUUCCGCGGGCGAGGAUCGACAGUUGCUCGUUUGGAAAUCUAAUUUGCGUACGUUUGAUGCCAAUAGCGCUCGCAACAAACAAGCCAGUUCUCAAAGAGUCCAAAUUGAUUUUAGUCAUGCAACUGCUCCACAUAACUCCGCCAUAGACACACCAGCUGCUGGAGUACCAAAAAGCUGUGAUGAAGGUAUUUUAAAUGAUCCACGACAAUCGGUGGCAUAUGGAAUGCGUGAUGGAAAUUUUCUGGUGCUUGAUAGCCAAUAUACUACAAGAGAACCAUCUCCAAGCAACUUUACCACACCACAUUGUCAGUAACAUAAGCAACAGCAGUACCUCGUUUCUACACAUGCCAAACAAAAGUAACAACAGCGAUGGCCAGAGAACACCAAGCAAAUAUU